rnacentral:tRNA from 1 species
UCCUCGUUAGUAUAGUGGNGAGUAUCCCCGCUCGUCACGCGGGAGACCGGGGUUCGAUUCCCCGACGGGGAGCCA